rnacentral:rRNA from 1 species
CGCAAGCCUGACGGAGCAACGCCGCGUGUGGGAGGACGGCCUUCGGGUUGUAAACCACUUUUCUCAGGGAAGAAGGACUGACGGUACCUGAGGAAUAAGCCUCGGCUAACUCCGUGCCAGCAGCCGCGGUAAUACGGAGGAGGCAAGCGUUAUCCGGAAUUAUUGGGCGUAAAGCGUCCGCAGGCGGCGAUUCAAGUCUGCUGUCAAAGCACGGGGCUUAACUCCGUUAAGGCAGUGGAAACUGAAUGGCUAGAGUGCCGUAGGGGUAGAGGGAAUUCCCGGUGUAGCGGUGAAAUGCGUAGAGAUCGGGAAGAACACCGGUGGCGAAAGCGCUCUACUGGGUCGCACCUGACCCUCAGGGACGAAAGCUAAGGUAGCG